CUCCUUUUAUCAUCUUAAACCAUCCCCUUAAGUUGAGUAUGCUCGUCGACUUAGGUUACUGUAUAACCAGGGACAAAGACAGUUUUAGGACAUUUUCAAUGUUAGUUUAGACUAAAUUCAAAGAUGUGUUGAAAUACAUUAGGGCGUCAAGUUAUUCAUCACUCUGUGUGCUGUGCCUCACCAAUUUGGUCCGUUCACUCAUAGAGAACAACAACAUUUGCUGACACAAAUGGGAAACAAACCAUCAAGCAACAACUACUACAAUAGCACCAACAACAGUAGCAACAACAACUACUCCUACAACCACAUACAUACCAACAACUACAUUAAUUGACCAAAGGUCUGUACCAGUGGAGCAGAUCAUUAUUGGCCUGGCCACCUGUAUUUGUGUUCUCCUUAUGGUGGCUGCAUCAGGUCUGCUUGUUUAUACCCUCUGCAGAAAGACAGCUUUGGCAUGUGGGCCAAAAGCAAAAGAGUUGGAUGAUGAAACAAAAACCACAGACAAACCACAGGUUGUUGUUAUUGAAAAUGAGCACACAUAUGCAAACGAUGGUAAAUCCAAGGCACAGAUGAUUGAUGACCACUUUACUAGUGACCUGACCAUCCUAAGGGCUAACGCCAAACCAUCACCAACCACAGAGAUGACUGAAUAUGCCAGUGUUAGAAUCCACAAUUCUGAUGUUUUAAAUGUAUAACAAUGCACAAACAUGCAUAUCUUCAAGUAUAAUGCUCUAAAGUCACAGGAGUGGGAGGCAGCUCAGCAUUGGAAUCUUUACAUUUAUUUUGAAUGAUUUUGAUGGGGUUACUAAACAUGUGUUUUUGAUUGCAAUGUUUAUUCAAUGCAAUUAUGUUUUGUAUCAUAUAUGUUUAAUUUAUUGUUAUCUAUAAUUUUGUAUAUUUUUUUAAUCAUGAUAUUAAAGUAGCAUAUAAAUAAACUGCCUUACACAUA